rnacentral:rRNA from 1 species
CAGUCGUACUGGCGGGCAAUCAGCCUUUUGGGUGUGAUUAUGUGGGGCGUGAGGAGUUAAUCACCCUCAUCUUUACAUAUUCGUACUCUGGGGUGUACUUGGACGUGCGGUAGGUUAACAUCAAUUUCGGACGUCAUAAAAUGGCUGGAGGAAUGUAGCUUCGGUCUCGUACUGAAGUGUUAUAGCCUUUGGUAGAUGUGAUGAUUGGGAUUGAGGAUUGCAACGGAUACCCUUCGGGGCUACCUGUCUGAUCUCUGAAAGUUGCUCUGGUGCCGAAAGCUUGCUUACGGUAUUAAAGUUGACGUUCAACAGGUUAGAACGGGAUAAA